UAUAUGCUGUGUCUCUGGGUCCUUGGGAGAGGCCUCCAGGCCCUGCUUCUCCUUGAAAAUGACUCCCUAGACGCGGCUGCCUUGUUUGUCAGACUGCAUAAACACUCGGGGAUGCAGAGAAAGAAAAGGAGGAGCUUAGGGGAGAUGCUAUUCAGGGGCAUGCUUGGCUAGCAGACAACUACCGUAUUAGCCAUUAAUGUGACUGAGUUCUGGACUUACAAAGUGUAGAGACUCUGACCUGCCAAGUGAGGCUAAAAGGAGCACACGAGUUCAAGGCUAAGACCUGGAAUAGAAAAGCAAGAGGAGAGGCCUGGAUGGCUUUGGCAAGGGUGAGCCUCAGCUCCUGAGAGUUUGAACAUGCUCCGUGCUUGCCCCAGUUCUGCCUUCACGUGGGAGCCGGCGACCCAGUUUCCUUUUGUUGUCGUGCUUGGAUGGUUUCUUCAUUUGAAGGGCUCCGGGAAGCUGGAAAGGCCCAUGAUUGAGCUCCAGCCUGCUGAGCAAACAAUGCCCCAGCCAAAUUGGCCUCUUCCUGGGUUUCUGCAGUCAUGCACCCCUCUCUCCACUGAGGGUAAUCUUGGAACAGCCAGGACGAAUGGUGCCAGAAAGCAAGGAGGAUUCUCUUGUUUCCAUUACAGACAGAGCUGUAAAGCUCAUAAGUGAGGGCUGUUGUGUGCUUAUGUGCUUAUUAUAUAGGCUGGAGAACAUAUCUAUAUAUAAUAUAUUGUAUAUAUUAUAUAUGUGUGUAUAAAUAUAUAUGUUUAUAUUUAUACACACACUGUGGAAAUGGCCGCUCACUUAGGCUCAUGCAGCACAGACUAAUUAGGAUUUCACCGGCUUCUUUGCUGUUCAUGCAUGACUCUGCAUGACUCUGCAGCUGCCUUCCCGUGUCCUGUCUCUAAAAAAAAAUCACUGAAAACUCAAAGAGGAGCGGAAGAUCCAUAAGCCUCUUUGAGAUCAAUAGGGAAAAAGGAACUCCAAGGCUUAUAGCAAAGCUUCCUAAGGAUGAUGCUGAAAGGGAACGUGGGUCUCCAUGGUGAUAAGAGACAGAGAACCAAUGAGAGCUGAAGGCGGAGCAGGACUUGUGUGGAGGACUCAUGGGAACUGGGAGUCAUUUAACUAUUUGUUUGCUUCAUGAAAAUUUAGACACCAGCUGUAACUGCAUUGCACAGGGUGUAUAGAUGUUAUCAUUCUUGCUGACAUAUUCUGGAAGCUUUCAGCCCCACCAACACUGCCCCACCCAGGACUUCUGCAGCUGAGAGUUCCUGUGUCAGUAGGGUCUGAUAUAUGUACAUAGAUUAUACAUAUAUGUGUACAUAUGUGCCUCAAUGAACAUUGCCUGUUCACCUUAUCAUGGGUGUACAUAGACUUCAUAGAGCUCCACAGUCUUUUGUAAAUAUUGACACAAGUAAAUAAGUAUAUAAAUAUAUAUUACUGAGGAUUUAUUUUAACAUCAUUCUGUGUGAAAUGACAAAAAUAAAAUUUUUGACAG
rnacentral:lncRNA from 1 species